GGGGGAAAGGUUUACCCCAAAUUGAUAUUAUUAUUGAUAUUAUUAUAGUAAAUAGUGACGGGGCGGAAAAAUGUGGAUAUUAUUAGGGUGUGCCCAGGCACACCCAGUGCGCACGCCUAUGAUAGGCAACCUUCGGCACUCCAGAUGUUUUGGGCUACAUCCCCCAUAAUGCUCUUACACCUAUAAUGCUGGCAAAGCAUCAUGGGAGGUGUGGUCCAAAACAUCUGGAGUGUCGAAGGUUGCCUAUGCCUGGCCUAGAGGGAUAUUGGCUACACCUCACUGACAAGGCCCAAAAAAGGCCGAAACGAUCAUCUGGGGUUGCUGUAUGGCUCGUGCUGAGGGAACUUGCUGGCAUUUCGGAUCUGGACUGCCCGUAUGGGUGGGACCAGU